CACUCAUCGAGACCGGCUGAGGGACAGGCCCUUUGAAGCCGGGGCAACCUGCGGAUUUCCGCGACGGUGCCAACUCCUGCGGUGCGUGGUUCGCCACGCAAGCCGAUAGAUGGGAA
rfam:Luteibacter yeojuensis strain ST11 contig_43, whole genome shotgun sequence.